rnacentral:rRNA from 1 species
ACAAUGCAAGUCGAACGGUGAACACGGAGCUUGCUCUGUGGGAUCAGUGGCGAACGGGUGAGUAACACGUGAGCAACCUACCCCUGACUCUGGGAUAAGCGCUGGAAACGGCGUCUAAUACUGGAUACGAGUGGCGACCGCAUGGUCAGCUACUGGAAAGAUUUAUCGGUUGGGGAUGGGCUCGCGGCCUAUCAGCUUGUUGGUGAGGUAAUGGCUCACCAAGGCGUCGACGGGUAGCCGGCCUGAGAGGGUGACCGGCCACACUGGGACUGAGACACGGCCCAGACUCCUACGGGAGGCAGCAGUGGGGAAUAUUGCACAAUGGGCGCAAGCCUGAUGCAGCAACGCCGCGUGAGGGAUGACGGCCUUCGGGUUGUAAACCUCUUUUAGCAGGGAAGAAGCGAAAGUGACGGUACCUGCAGAAAAAGCGCCGGCUAACUACGUGCCAGCAGCCGCGGUAAUACGUAGGGCGCAAGCGUUAUCCGGAAUUAUUGGGCGUAAAGAGCUCGUAGGCGGUUUGUCGCGUCUGCUGUGAAAUCCGGAGGCUCAACCUCCGGCCUGCAGUGGGUACGGGCAGACUAGAGUGCGGUAGGGGAGAUUGGAAUUCCUGGUGUAGCGGUGGAAUGCGCAGAUAUCAGGAGGAACACCGAUGGCGAAGCAGAUCUCUGGGCCGUAACUGACGCUGAGGAGCGAAAGGGUGGGGAGCAAACAGGCUUAGAUACCCUGGUA